rnacentral:lncRNA from 1 species
GUUGCUGUGAGGCUCCGGACCUGCAGCUUCCCUGGGAAGGUCUUGUUCUCGCGGGAACUCUUGGAGGACCCCUAGCUAUUGUUGCUGUGGAGGAGCGCUAGGAAGGUGUUCAACUUGGAUAUUCCAGAAUUCUGAAGAGGCUUGAGGACCCCUGGCUUCUGUAGCAGUCAAUGGCAUCUUUGAAAGGAAGGAGGCACAAGCAUGGGGUGGGACAUCUACUACGAGGCUGCAGAGCACAAGGACACAGUGGGAGUAGCGCCUCACUGACCCUGGAGGAGCCUGGAGGAGGUGGGGAAGUACCUGGAUUUACGAGGAAGGCGAUGCUGUUCCGCAGGGAUUUCCACCCAAGACAGGCGUGCGGGGCCUCCUGUGGGCUCUCGCCCCUUCGACCGCCAGGGAACGCCAGGAGACAAGGUCCAAACAGUUCCCUUCUUUGUCGGCGCGCGGUUUCCGCUGCCCCUGAGAGCAGGUGCGCUGGUCUCACAUCCGGAUGCAGAGGUGAUCUGAAGCUCUUCCCGCCUCUGCCUUCGCGGUCUCAGGUGGCUUAAAGCUUCUCGCCGACUUGGUAGCGUUAGUUUCUGGUAUCUUCCCCGCAUAUCACGGCCAAUACGACCGACUCAUCCCUUCUCUGAACACAGCUGUGAGGACAGAUUUCAGCGCGCCUCUGGAUUAGCGAGGUCGGAAAUGCAGGGUUCGCCGUGCAUGUCAGACAAGGAUUGCAACACCCGGAGAUUCUGCCUGGCGCCGCGCGAGGAGCAGCCGUUCUGCGCCGCGUGUCGCGGGCUGCGGAGGAGGUGUCAGCGCAGCGCCAUGUGCUGCCCCGGGACGCUGUGCGUGAACGACGUUUGUGCUACCAUGGAAGAUGCAACCGGUGCUGGAAAGGAUUGAUGACCCAGAUGGCCUGGAUGCCACAGGAACAACUGAGCAUCCAGUUAAGAACAAACCCAAAGGAAGCCAAAUAUCAAGAAAUCACAAGGCAGUAAGGGACAAGAAGGAGAAAGCUGUCUUAGAACUUCUGACUGUGGCCCUGCACUUUGCUGUGCUCGUCAUUUCUGGACUAAGAUCUGUAAACCAGUCCUAGUCGGAGGGACAGGUCUGCUCCAGGAGAGGCCAUAAAGAUACUGCACAAGCUCCAGAAAUCUUCCAGCGCUGUGACUGUGGUCCUGGUCUGUCAUGUCAAAGUCAGGGCAGUCGGCAACACACACGGUUAAGAGUGUGCCAAAAAAUGUAAAAAGCCAUAAACAUUUCAGAAUAAAAGAAGAAUCUUCAUUGUAUUCAAGCAGAAUCUCAGACACUAACUUUAAAGUACUUCCAUACAAAUAUCUCUUAAAAUCAAAUUUUCUAGCAACAGCAAUAGACUUAACUAGAGAAUUAUGAGAUGCUGUAUUGCGAGGAAUGGAAACUAGAUUUGGUUUUUUUGUCUUAUUACUUCACAAAAUGAAUGUGAUUCCAUAAGAAAAAAAUAUUAAUUUUGAACUACUUAUAGUUCAAAUAAAUCUCUUUUAAUAGUUGCAU